rnacentral:rRNA from 1 species
GACGAACGCUGGGGGCGUGCUUAACACAUGCAAGUCGAACGGAAAGGCCCUGCUUUUGUGGGGUGCUCGAGUGGCGAACGGGUGAGUAACACGUGAGUAACCUGCCCUUGACUUUGGGAUAACUUCAGGAAACUGGGGCUAAUACCGGAUAGGAGCUCCUGCUGCAUGGUGGGGGUUGGAAAGUUUCGGCGGUCGGGGAUGGACUCGCGGCUUAUCAGCUUGUUGGUGGGGUAGUGGCUUACCAAGGCUUUGACGGGUAGCCGGCCUGAGAGGGUGACCGGCGACAAUGGGACUGAGAUACGGCGCAGACUCCUACGGGAGGCAGCAGUGGGGAAUAUUGCACAAUGGGCGGAAGCCUGAUGCAGCAACGCCGCGUGCGGGAUGACGGCCUUCGGGUUGUAAACCGCUUUCGCCUGUGACGAAGCGUGAGUGACGGUAAUGGGUAAAGAAGCACCGGCUAACUACGUG